UACGUAGGUCCCGAGCGUUGUCCGGAUUUAUUGGGCGUAAAGCGAGCGCAGGUGGUUUAUUAAGUCUGGUGUAAAAGGCAGUGGCUCAACCAUUGUAUGCAUUGGAAACUGGUAGACUUGAGUGCAGGAGAGGAGAGUGGAAUUCCAUGUGUAGCGGUGAAAUGCGUAGAUAUUUGGAGGAACACCGGUGGCGAAAGCGGCUCUCUGGCCUGUAACUGACACUGAGGCUCGAAAGCGUGGGGAGCAAACAGG
rnacentral:rRNA from 1 species